GCAGCUAAUCAUUAUCUUCAUUGCCAAUUAAUAAUCUUUUGUUUUAAUUCAUUAUUUUGUCAAUAAAAUGUCAGAAAAUAGUCUCCAACUGACAGUCCAGAACAAAGAGAUUCAGCUUACUAUAAAAACUUCCCAGCUGCAACAGAACAUGUCUGAGCAUUUGUGCUUUAAAAACAAUUUACUAGUUUGAUAAUUGAUUAUCAGUUUCAUGUUUAACUAAUCGGUUUGCGGUCUGGUAGGCAACAGUAUGCUGACGUCUUGUAAUGGAAAGGUGCUGCAUUGAAGAGUAGCACUGUAAACACUGCGUCUGCUGUAUGAAGUAAUACAGAUAUCUGACUGCUGCCACAGAAACAGUAAACACGAUGAGACGAACACAAGUUCAAGAAGCUACUUUAACGUCAGCUGUGUCAGUGAACAGAUUAAAUAUAAAAUAAAAACGUUAAAAUCACGACCUCAUUGAUUCACUGUAGGACGAUUUAAUAAGUGAAUGUAAGACUUUGAGAGUCUUUAACGACCUGCAAAAAGCGAGUUUGAUAAAAGCCGGAAGGUUGCAGCACGUUAAAGAGGCGAAAAUGCGAAGGGAGUCUGGUGCGGCUGCAGCUUCAAGGGUCGCUCUCUGCACCGUCCUGUACCAGGAGAGGACCUGCACCGCUGCCACACGGAGUCUUAGCAUCGAAAUAUUGUAUAAAAAGUAAAGUUUGGACACCAGGUGGCGCCACGUGUCUUUUUGUUUACAUGAACACAAGUCAGUGGACAAGCUGUAAAAAUAACUGUUCUUUAUUGAGAGACGAGUCACCCGGACGACUCCUGCAAGACACAACAGGACUUUCCCGACAUCAAAGAAGCACACAGGUAGUUUCAGCUUUUUAACUACAAGUGCAGCAUUCUCACCAUCACUUUUCAGAUUCCCUUCCUUCCAGGCAGCCAUUAGGUUGCAGUUUAUUUUUUAUAAGAAAUAACCUGGCAGAGACUCGAAACUUUUAAAGAUGGUAAUCUAAGUUAUUUUCUAAAAUAAAAUUAAAAAAAAAAAAAAAACACUUUCACAGACUAAAACCUGUGUAAUCUGGCAUGUGUCGUGGAGGGGAAACAAAUCAAAGUCACGUGUAUGAAUCAAUACGUUGUGCUCUCAAAUGAACAGAAGGUUAAACGACGGUUGACAUUUUGCCUUUGUCUGACAGUCGCGGUGUGGAGAGACGGGAGGACACGCAACAAAGGCCCCCAGCCAGGAACCGAAGCGUGGACGCUGCAGUCGUGUGGUAUGUGCUGUCACCAUUAGGCUACCAAGGCACCCCAACAUGUGUUUAACGGGCAGAAUCUGAAGUACAUCCACAUAAAACUGCAUUCAGUCCAAGCAGCUCAUUGACAUUAGGGAUCCGGUGUGGCGGUGCAGCCGGGAAACUGAUUCACCUCCUGAUACUGAUACUAAAGAGCAUCAUCAGCUUAAAUUCAAACUGAUGACCGCUACCCUUGACCUAACCUAACAGGUGACCAUGGACGCCACAGCCUGCCUGCACUUGUUCAAAUUCACACACAAACAUGAUUAUUUAAUUUAUUGUCAAAUGCAUUUCCAAACAAUAUGAAUUAACCAGAUAACUUCAACAACACAUCGUGUACAUGUCCACUGUCUGAUUGUUGAAACAUCUAAAAUGAAUGACGUUAGGCUACUUGUGCAGGCUUUACAUUUUACCAGAUGUCACUUGCUGAGUUACACCUGAACUCCAGGAGGGUCUGCACGACACACCGACCUGACGCUGAUGCAGAGUGAGAGGACAUUAAUCACCGGCGAUUGUAAACGUCUCGGCAGAUGCCUCGGACCAGCGCAGGAGCUAACUCGGCGAGGCCGGUGAACUCUCUGGUGAAGAAGGUGUGACUGCCCUUCGGCUCCGAUGACAUUGCUUUGAGGUCAUCCAUGGGUGCCCAGGCCACGCCCACUGAGUACAUGCUAGCGCCGGGCCUCUGACGUCGUCAUAUGAUUGGCCAUCUGUCACCACGAUGAGGAAGUUGCGGCCUGGUCCUGUCCGCCUGGUGGAGGAAAAACAACAGCUUCAGUUAACUUAGGUUCUGGGUGGUGUAGCUGAUGGCUCCUCCAGUGGCCGUUCCUCCGCUCAUGUACGGGAUCCUCUUCAGAGCGUUGAUGGCUUCCUCUUUGGUGGAGUGGUCAAACAGGCCGAACUCGAGCCGC